GAGUUUGAUCGUGGCUCAGGAUGAACGCUGGCGGCGUGCCUAACACAUGCAAGUCGAACGGACAUUUUUUGGAAAGCUCUUCGGAACUGGAAUCUAAAUGUUAGUGGCGGACGGGUGAGUAACGCGUGAGCAAUCUGCCUUUCAGAGGGGGAUAACAGCCGGAAACGGCUGCUAAUACCGCAUAAUGCAUUGGAUUCGCAUGUUUCUGAUGCCAAAGAUUUUAUCGCUGAAAGAUGAGCUCGCGUCUGAUUAGCUAGUUGGCGGGGUAACGGCCCACCAAGGCGACGAUCAGUAGCCGGACUGAGAGGUUGAACGGCCACAUUGGGACUGAGACACGGCCCAGACUCCUACGGGA
rnacentral:rRNA from 1 species